rnacentral:rRNA from 1 species
AUGAAAUUAAAAUUAUUAAAUAUAAUUUUAUCAAUAAUAAAUAAACUUAAUAAUAAUAAUAAUAUUAUUAUUAAUAAUCUAUUAGAUUCAUUAAUAAAUAAGAAAUUAUUAUUAAAGAAUAUAUUAUUAGAUAUAAAUAAUAAAAAAAUAAAUAAUAUAAAAAGAAUAUUAAAUAAUAAUAAUAUAAAUAUUAAUAAUAAAUUACAACAUUUAAAUAAUAUAAAUAAUUGAAAUCUACAAAUUUAUAAUUAUAAUAAAAAUAUAGAAAUUAUAAAUACUAUAAAUGAUAAAUUAAUUAAUAAAUUAUUAUAUAAAAUAAUAACUUUAAAAUUAAAUAAUAUAAAUAUUAAUAAAAUUAUUAUAAGUAAACUUAUUAAUCAACAUAGUUUAAAUAAAUUAAAUAUUAAAUUUUAUUAUUAUAAUAAUGAUAUUAAUAAUAAUAAUAAUAAUAAUAAUAAUAAUAAUAAUUAUUAUAUAAAUAUAAUAAAUAAAUUAAUAAAUAUUAUAAAUAAUAAUAUAAAUAAUAAUUUAUGUAAUAUUUUAAGUUAUUAUUAUAAUAAAAAAGUAACUAUUGAACCUAUUAAAUUAUCAUAUAUUUAUUUAAAUAGUGAUAUUUUUAGUAAAUAUAUUAGUUUAAAUGAUAUAGAUAAAUAUAAUAAUGGUAUCUUAACUAAUUAUCAACGUAUAUUAAAUAAUAUUAUGCCUAAAUUAAAUGAUCAUAAUAUUUCUAUAAAUUAUAUUAAUAAUAUUAAUAAUAUUAAUAAUAAUAAAUAUAAUAAUAUAAUUAAUUUAUUAAAUAAUAAUAAUUAUAAUAAUAAUAAUAAUAUUAAUAAUAAUAAUAAUUAUAAUAAUAAUAAUAAUAAUUAUAUUGGUAAUAUUAAUAAUAUUUAUAAUAAUAUAACUAUUGAUAAUAUUCCUAUAGAUAUUUUAAUAUAUAAAUAUUUAGUUGGUUGAUCUAUUAAAUUUAAAGGUAGAUUAAGUAAUAAUAAUGGUAGAACUAGUACACUUAAUUUAUUAAAUGGUACUUUUAAUAAUAAAAAAUAUUUAUGAAGUAAUAUUAAUAAUAAUUAUAAAUUAAAUUAUAUCCCUUCUAAUCAUAAUUUAUAUAAUAAUUCUAAUAUUAAUAAAAAUGGUAAAUAUAAUAUUAAAGUUAAAUUAAACUUUAUUUAA